rnacentral:rRNA from 1 species
AGCAUUAUGAAAAUAUAUAAAGUGAAACCUGCCCAGUGAUAUAAUUUUUAACGGCCGCAGUACCUUGACUGUGCUAAGGUAGCAUAAUAAAUUGACUUUUAAUUGAAGCCUUGUAUGAAAGGAAUAAUGGAUUGUUACUGUCUCUAAAUAUAAUUUAUUUUAAGUUACUUAGAAGGUGCAAAUACCUUUAAAUUAUUUAAUAGACGAGAAGACCCUAGGAGUUUAUUUAACAAUUAAUUUGAAAUAUUUUGUUGGGGCGACAUUACAGCAGAAAUUUAUUUAACCUGUAAAUAUUAAUUUAAUUUAACGAAAAUUUUUAAUUAUGAUUAAACUACCCUAGGGAUAACAGCAUAAUUUAUUUUUAAGUUUGUGACCUCGAUGUUGGACUAGGAAUUUUUAAUAUUAACAGUAUUAAAACAAUGUUCUGUUCGAACAAUAUUUCCUACAU